GCCUAUGGCCAUGCCACCCUGAACACGCCCGAUCUCGUCUGAUCUCGGAAGCUAAGCAGGGUCGGGCCUGGUUAGUACUUGGAUGGGAGACCACCUAGGAAGACCAGGCGCUGUAGGCU
rnacentral:rRNA from 1 species